ensembl:lncRNA
CCUCUGCCCUACCAAGCUGAGGCUUCGUCCUUUUCCGGCCUUUGUUGCAAAUAAGCGACGGAGCUGCGAGCAGUUUUAAAGGCAUUCAGCAUGGGGUCCGAAAAAUGACAGGGCUGUGGAGAUGUUGUUUCUGGUGUUUGGGGAAAAGAUCUGCUUUAGAGAUUAGAUUGGAUUGCGUGCCUGCCGAGAGCUGGGAGCUGGCAGGAAUGGCUUUUUUUCUGAAGGCAGCUGCCAGAGGGGGCCGGCUCCAGGCCAGGGGUCUGUGGUCCCCAGGACCUGGAGGUGGGGUGGGCUGGAACAGGAGAGCAGCAGGUGAACAGCCAGGGGUGACAGCGUUGGCAGUGAGUGCCGUCCUGGUGUGAACUCUGGAGGUGGGACCAAGGCCUGUUUUAUGGGGCAGGUAAGCCGGGAGCUUUAAGUGUGGGCCAUCUGGCUGCUGCAGAGUCUAAGGCAGGCCAGAGACACUACAGGGCCAGGUGCGCGGGGACCCAAUUCCACCCUGGAGACGCCUAGGAGGCAGUCCUGCAGGCCUGUCCCCCUGGCCACCGCCACAGCCCUGCCUCAAGCCACCCAGAGCCUGGAUUCGCAGCAGUUCCCUUCCUGGGCUCCCCACCGGCUGCCCCCCAGCCCCUCCUGUCUCUGUCUCUGCUUCCCCCUCGGCCCCCAUCGGUUCUCCAGCUGGAAGGGUGACAGCUUUGGGAGAUGGGGAGAGGGCUUUGUAAAGGAAGACCCCGCUGACCGUGGUGGGCAGAGGGCCACUCGGAAGGUUGGAAAGACCCCCAGUGGUUUUAGGCAAAGGAAGGACGUGUGUCCAUCUCUAGACAAAGACUAACAGCUGGAAACCCUCGGUGGGUUUCAAACUCACUGUUACCUGAUGUUUCACUGCUCCAUGGCUAAACCUCGGGGUGUGACUUCUGGAAUGUGAGGGACUCGGUGGACCUGACUCUGCUGGAGACGUGGGAGCUGGCCCCAAUGCACACAGCAUCCUGGACCCAAAGGAGCCAGGGAAUCAGCUCUCACUCUCCCCUGCCCCCGGACACCCGGAACCGUUGCGAGGGCCGGGCACUGUCUGGCACUGCUCACCAGGGAAGCCCAAGGGCUGUGCUGGAAGUUUCUCUGGAGACCACAGGGGUCCCGACCGCAAGAAGCCUGCAAGGACAUCCAACCAGUCCAUCCUAAAGAAAAUCAACCCUGAAUAUUUACUGGAAGGACUGAUGCUGAAGCUGAAGCUCCAACACUUAAGCCACCUGAUGCAAAGAGCCGACUCACUAGAAAAGACCCUGAUUCUGGGAAAGAUUGAAGUCAGGAGGAGAAGGGGAUGAGGAUGGUUGGAUGGCAUCACUGGCUCAAUGGACCAGAGUUUGAGCAAACUCUGGGAGUUGGUGAUGGACAGGGAGGCCUGGCAUGCUGCAGUUCACGGGGUUGCAGAGAGAUGGAUUGACUUAGUGACUGAGCAACAACAACAAAACAUUUAUGUGAAUUUAGGAAUUAUAGGAUGUAUGUAUAUAUAUAUCUGUUUUUUCUUUUUCUGGCCACUUGAAACAUUUACUGCCAACAGCUGGUUCUCAGCAAUCUGACUGACGCUCCUCCUGUGGCUGGUCUCUGCCACCUGCUCUGUGUCUUCUUCCUGGACUCUAAUUACACACGUUUGACUACUUGACAAUUAACCUACAGGUUGCUGAGCUUGUGUGUUUGUAUUUUGUCUUUUUCCUCUCUGUCUGAACAUUUUCCAUUGCAGUGUCUGCAUAUUCACUGAUCUUUCUUUUGGAAUAUCUAAUCCAAUGUUACAAUUGUCCAGUUAAAUUUUCCCAACAGAUACUAUACUUUUCUCCUCUAGAAGUCCCAUUUGAUUCUUUUUUAAAAAAUAUUUUCCAUCUGUCUCUUCAUCCUGCUCAUGUUUUCCUUUUAGAUUUUAAAUAUGCGUGUAAUGUAUUUUUAGGUGUCCUUGUCCGCUGUUUCCGGCCUCUCAUUUGUAGAUUUGUUUCUUUUGACUGAUUUUCCUUCUUGUUAUGGGUCAAAAUUUGCUGAUUUUUUUUUUUGCAUGUCUAGUAAUUUUUAAUUGGAUGCAGGACAUGAACUUUAGGUCACUGAGUGUUUGGAUUUUGUUUCUUUUUUAAAAGGGUUUUUGAAUUUGUUUUGCUCAAAAAUUAAGUUAUGUGUUUCUGAUUAACCCUUACCAAGUUUAUUUACUUAUUUAAAUUGGAGCCUGUUGCUUCACAACGUCGUGGUCGUUUCUUCUGUACAACAGCGUGAAUCAGACAUGUAUACACAUAUAUCCGCUCCCUCUCGAGCCUCCUGCUCUACCACCCCCACCCCACCCCCCGCCCCGGGUCAUCACGGAGCACCGAGCUGAGCUACCCCAGCUCCCGCAGCUGUCUGUCUGCGUGUGGCAGUGUAUGAACGUCAGUGCCCACUCUCGAUCUGUCCCCGCCCUGCCUCCCACCCCCAUGUCUGUAAGUCCGCACCGGGUUUGUUCUUAAGCCCUCUUUUAGGGCAGCUCUAGACUAGACUGCGGAGAAGGCGAUGGCACCCCACUCCAGUACUCUUGCCUGGAAAAUCCCAUGGAUGGAGGAGCCUGACAGGCUGCAGUCCAUGGGGUCACUAAGAGUCGGACACGACUGAGCGACUUCACUUUCACUUUUCACUUUCAUGUAUUGGAGAAGGAAAUGGCAACCCACUCCGGUGUUCUUGCCUGGAGAAUCCCAGGGACGGGGGAGCCUGGUGGGCUGCUGUCUAUGGGGUCGCACAGAGUCGGACACGACCGAAGCGACUUAGCAGCAGCAGCAGCAGACUAGUCUGCAGUCAGUCCCGUUACUAAGACGCGCCACUUCUGGCAUCUCCGCCUACGGCCCUGGGUGUUAGAGCAGACGUGUCCACUGCGGCUGGUUGGAAGCCGUAGUUCUCCAGCCCCGUGAAGUCUGGGAACCGUCGUAAUUGCAGCUCUUCUUCGGUUCUGGGUCCAGCCUUGCAUGGGCCGCCCCGCCCCGUGCAUGGUCUGGAUUCGCCCAGGCUCGAGGGCCCCUGCAGACUUCCGGACCCUCCGGUGCACAGUCCCCUCACGCCCAGCAGGCCCCGCUUCCCGAGCUCAGCCCCGCGCGCCUCGGCUCAGACGUGGACCUCUUCUCCGCUGCUCCUGUCCUUUGGCUGUUGCUCUAAAUUUACUUUCAGGCAAAAAUCAAGGAUGGAGUCAUCUCUGGGAUCAGCAUCAUAUUGUUUUAUAUCUUAUGUCUAAAAACAUUUUUAUUUGUAUUUUGCCCAAUUUUCUGUUUGUUCAGUGGAGAAAAAUAUUCUGAUUUCUUCUUCAUAGUCGGGAAUAUAAGCCAUGACUUUAAGACACAGUUUAUGUACUUGAAUUGGGAUUCAAAUAAAGCUCACACAGUUUGAUUGGCU